GAUGAACGCUGGCGGCGUGCCUAAUACAUGCAAGUCGAGCGAACAGACGAGGAGCUUGCUCCUUCGACGUUAGCGGCGGACGGGUGAGUAACACGUAGGUAACCUACCUAUAAGACUGGGAUAACUUCGGGAAACCGGAGCUAAUACCGGAUAAUAUUUCGAACCGCAUGGUUCGAUAGUGAAAGAUGGCUUUGCUAUCACUUAUAGAUGGACCUGCGCCGUAUUAGCUAGUUGGUAAGGUAACGGCUUACCAAGGCAACGAUACGUAGCCGACCUGAGAGGGGGUACGCCCACACAGGAGGUGAGACGCGGCCCAGACUCCUAGGGGAGGCAGAAAGAGGAAAUCUCCGGAAAAGGGGGAAAGCCGGACGGAGCAGCGCGGGGGGGGUGAUGAAGGUUUUCGGAUGGUAAAACGUUUUUAUGGGGAAAAAACAAACGUGUAAGUAACGGUGCGCGUCUGGAGGGAACCAAUAAAGAAAGCCACGCCAACCAAGGG
rnacentral:rRNA from 1 species